UGGGGAAUAUUGCACAAUGGGCGCAAGCCUGAUGCAGCCAUGCCGCGUGUGUGAAGAAGGCCUUCGGGUUGUAAAGCACUUUCAGCGAGGAGGAAGGUGGUGAGCUUAAUACGCUCAUCAAUUGACGUUACUCGCAGAAGAAGCACCGGCUAACUCCGUGCCAGCAGCCGCGGUAAUACGGAGGGUGCAAGCGUUAAUCGGAAUUACUGGGCGUAAAGCGCACGCAGGUGGUUUGUUAAGUCAGAUGUGAAAUCCCCGGGCUCAACCUGGGAACUGCAUUUGAAACUGGCAAGCUAGAGUCUCGUAGAGGGGGGUAGAAUUCCAGGUGUAGCGGUGAAAUGCGUAGAGAUCUGGAGGAAUACCGGUGGCGAAGGCGGCCCCCUGGACGAAGACUGACGCUCAGGUGCGAAAGCGUGGGGCAGCAAACAGGAUUAGAUACCCUGGUAGUCCAGCGCUGUAAACGAUGUCGAUUUGGAGGUUGUGCCCUUGAGGCGUGGCUUCCGGAGCUAACGCGUUAAAUCGACCGCCUGGGGAGUACGGCCGCAAGGUUAAAACUCAAAGGAAUUGACGGGGUCAUAGCU
rnacentral:rRNA from 1 species